AUGAACGCUGGCGGCGUGCCUAAUACAUGCAAGUCGAGCGAACGGACGAGAAGCUUGCUUCUCUGAUGUUAGCGGCGGACGGGUGAGUAACACGUGGAUAACCUACCUAUAAGACUGGGAUAACUUCGGGAAACCGGAGCUAAUACCGGAUGAUAUUUUGAACCGCAUGGUUCAAAAGUGAAAGACGGUCUUGCUGUCACUUAUAGAUGGAUCCGCGCUGCAUUAGCUAGUUGGUAAGGUAACGGCUUACCAAGGCAACGAUGCAUAGCCGACCUGAGAGGGUGAUCGGCCACACUGGAACUGAGACACGGUCCAGACUCCUACGGGAGGCAGCAGUAGGGAAUCUUCCGCAAUGGGCGAAAGCCUGACGGAGCAACGCCGCGUGAGUGAUGAAGGUCUUCGGAUCGUAAAACUCUGUUAUUAGGGAAGAACGUAUGUGUAAGUAACUGUGCACAUCUUGACGGUACCUAAUCAGAAAGCCACGGCUAACUACGUG
rnacentral:rRNA from 1 species